GAUGAACGCUGGCGGCGUGCCUAAUACAUGCAAGUCGAGCGAACAGAUAAGGAGCUUGCUCCUUUGAUGUUAGCGGCGGACGGGUGAGUAGCACGUGGGUAACCUAUCUAUAAGACUGGAAUAACUCCGGGAAACCGGGGCUAAUGCCGGAUAACAUGUUGAACCGCAUGGUUCUACAGUGAAAGGCGGCUUUGCUGUCACUUAUAGAUGGACCCGCGCCGUAUUAGCUAGUUGGUGAGGUAACGGCUCACCAAGGCAACGAUACGUAGCCGACCUGAGAGGGUGAUCGGCCACACUGGAACUGAGACACGGUCCAGACUCCUACGGGAGGCAGCAGUAGGGAAUCUUCCGCAAUGGGCGAAAGCCUGACGGAGCAACGCCGCGUGAGUGAUGAAGGUCUUCGGAUCGUAAAACUCUGUUAUUAGGGAAGAACAAAUGCGUAAGUAACUGUGCGCGUCUUGACGGUACCUAAUCAGAAAGCCACGGCUAACUACGUG
rnacentral:rRNA from 1 species